GAGCGGUCAUGGCGACAUUCUACUGAUAGCAGGAUAGCAUCAGCAAUUAUUCCACUCCCAUCACAGCCGGCGGACAAAGAUGGCCACUAACGCCAAUGAAAGGACGGCGGGAGAUAACGCAAGAAAAUUACUGCGACUGUGGAGACUGUGGAGGUAAGUAAGCCAAGCAUGCAGCAAUCGCUGGGAUUCUCACCAGGUUAGGCGAGAGAAGCGAUUGGAAGUGGAAGAGCAGGCCUACACUGGCAAUCUGCUCCAACCAUCGUGCGCUGGCCUCCUGAACCUCCUGCAGGUC